CAAAAAAAUAGGGCCACCCAUAGGGGCGGCCCCGCUUUUUUGAAUCAUACGAGAUGAAACAAAAAAGUAAAGGGAGAGGAGAAACCGGAGGAAGAGCUUAUGGGGAUGUAAGCCUUCUCCGUUU
rnacentral:ncRNA from 1 species